GAUGAACGCUAGCUACAGGCUUAACACAUGCAAGUCGAGGGGUAGCAGGGUAGCAAUACCGCUGACGACCGGCGCACGGGUGAGUAACAUGUAUCCAACCUUCCCAUAACUCGGGGAUAGCCUUUCGAAAGAAAGAUUAAUACCCGAUAGUACUUUUUCAAGGCAUCUUGAGAAAGUUAAAGAUUUAUUGGUUAUGGAUGGGGAUGCGUUCCAUUAGAUAGUUGGUGAGGUAACGGCUCACCAAGUCUUCGAUGGAUAGGGGUUCUGAGAGGAAGGUCCCCCACAUUGGUACUGAGACACGGACCAAACUUCUACGGGAGGCAGCAGUGAGGAAUAUUGGUCAAUGGGCGAGAGCCUGAACCAGCCAAGUAGCGUGAAGGAUGAAGGUCUUAUGGAUUGUAAACUUCUUUUAUAGUAGAAUAAAGUGAUCCACGUGUGGAUUUUUGUAUGUAUACUAUGAAUAAGGAUCGGCUAACUCCGUGCCAGCAGCCGCCGUAA
rnacentral:rRNA from 1 species